rnacentral:rRNA from 1 species
ACGCUGGCGGCAGGCCUAACACAUGCAAGUCGAGCGGAAACGAGUUAUCUGAACCUUCGGGGAACGAUAACGGCGUCGAGCGGCGGACGGGUGAGUAAUGCCUAGGAAAUUGCCUUGAUGUGGGGGAUAACCAUUGGAAACGAUGGCUAAUACCGCAUAACGCCUACGGGCCAAAGAGGGGGACCUUCGGGCCUCUCGCGUCAAGAUAUGCCUAGGUGGGAUUAGCUAGUUGGUGAGGUAAUGGCUCACCAAGGCGACGAUCCCUAGCUGGUCUGAGAGGAUGAUCAGCCACACUGGAACUGAGACACGGUCCAGACUCCUACGGGAGGCAGCAGUGGGGAAUAUUGCACAAUGGGCGCAAGCCUGAUGCAGCCAUGCCGCGUGUAUGAAGAAGGCCUUCGGGUUGUAAAGUACUUUCAGCAGUGAGGAAGGGGGUGUCGUUAAUAGCGGCAUCUCUUGACGUUAGCUGCAGAAGAAGCACCGGCUAACUCCGUGCCAGCAGCCGCGGUAAUACGGAGGGUGCGAGCGUUAAUCGGAAUUACUGGGCGUAAAGCGCAUGCAGGUGGUUUGUUAAGUCAGAUGUGAAAGCCCGGGGCUCAACCUCGGAACUGCAUUUGAAACUGGCAAACUAGAGUACUGUAGAGGGGGGUAGAAUUUCAGGUGUAGCGGUGAAAUGCGUAGAGAUCUGAAGGAAUACCAGUGGCGAAGGCGGCCCCCUGGACA